rnacentral:rRNA from 1 species
AACGAACGCUGGCGGCAUGCCUGACACAUGCAAGUCGAACGAGACCUUCGGGUCUAGUGGCGCACGGGUGCGUAACGCGUGGGAACCUGCCCUUAGGUUCGGAAUAACUCCCCGAAAGGGGUGCUAAUACCGGAUAAUGUCUUCGGACCAAAGAUUUAUCGCCUUUGGAUGGUCCCGCGUUGGAUUAGCUAGUUGGUAGGGUAAAAGCCUACCAAGGCGACGAUCCAUAGCUGGUCUGAGAGGAUGCUCAGCCACACUGGGACUGAGACACGGCCCAGACUCCUACGGGAAGCAGCAGUGGGGAAUAUUGGACAAUGGGCGAAAGCCUGAUCCAGCAAUGCCGCGUGAGUGAUGAAGGCCUUAGGGUUGUAAAGCUCUUUUACCCGGGAUGAUAAUGACAGUACCGGGAGAAUAAGCUCCGGCUAACUCCGUG